CUCUGUCAAGGAUAGUAAAGAAAAGCCCGUAAAGGAGUAUGGCCUUUUAUUGAAUAGCCUGGUAGUAC
rnacentral:sRNA from 1 species